rnacentral:rRNA from 1 species
UACAGAGGGGGCAAGCGUUGUUCGGAAUUACUGGGCGUAAAGCGUGCGCAGGCGGUGAUGUAAGACAGAUGUGAAAUCCCCGGGCUCAACCUGGGAACUGCAUCUGAUACUGGAUGGCUUGAGUUCGGGAGAGGGAUGCGGAAUUCCUGGUGUAGCAGUGAAAUGCGUAGAUAUCAGGAGGAACACCUGUGGCGAAAGCGGCUCACUGGACCACAACUGACGCUGAGGCGCGAAAGCUAGGGGAGCAAACAGG